rnacentral:rRNA from 1 species
ACCUACGGGAGGCAGCAGUGGGGAAUAUUGGGCAAUGGGGGAAACCCUGAUCCAGCGACGCCGCGUGAGUGAAGAAGUAUUUCGGUACGUAAAGCUCUAUCAGCAGGAAAGAAAAUGACGGUACCUGACUAAGAAGCCCCGGCUAACUACGUGCCAGCAGCCGCGGUAAUACGUAGGGGGCAAGCGUUAUCCGGAUUUACUGGGUGUAAAGGGAGCGCAGGCGGCAUGGCAAGUCUGAUGUGAAAACCCGGGGCCCAACCCCGGGAGUGCAUUGGAAACUGCCAGGCUGGAGUGUCGGAGGGGUA